AGAGUUUGAUCCUGGCUCAGGAUGAACGCUGGCGGCGUGCCUAACCAUGCAAGUCGAACGGAGUCAUUUGAAGCUUGCUUUGGAUGACUUAGUGGCGAACGGGUGAGUAACGCGUGAGCAACCUGCCCUUGAGAGGGGGAUAACAUCGGGAAACCGAUGCUAAUACCGCAUGACAUAUACUGGUGGCAUCACCGGUAUAUCAAAGGAGCAAUCCGCUCAAGGAUGGGCUCGCGUCUGAUUAGCUAGUUGGUGAGGUAACGGCUCACCAAGGCGACGAUCAGUAGCCGGACUGAGAGGUUGACCGGCCACAUUGGGACUGAGACACGGCCCAGACUCCNUACGGGAGGCAGCAGUGGGGAAUAUUGGGCAAUGGGGGAAACCCUGACCCAGCAACGCCGCGUGAAGGAAGAAGGCCUUCGGGUUGUAAACUUC
rnacentral:rRNA from 1 species